UCAUCGGUUCGUGUGCUUGUACUUGUGGUCGCCUUGUACUCGUGUUUGUUUUGUGAGUGUUAAGCUGGAAGAUACAAAACAAAAGAGACAAAGAGAACGGUUUGGCCUCGCAGACGGCUUUUGGCGAUAAGGCGCAUAACAGGGAAAGCGGAAAAGCGUAAAGAGCAUGGCUCCGCACUUAGAACACGCGCACUCACUUUUCCCCACACUAUGUGUUUAUUUUGCGAGCCGUAAACAGCAGCAACCAGAGCAACAACAGCGUGGAACGUGUUAUCAACGCACCUUGAUUUGAACACGUCUAGACUAGCGGGUGGCUCGAAAACAAAUGAGCAGAGUGGACGGCGAGAGGCGGAGAGAAACGUUGAGCGGGCGAGAGAGCGCCGCACGUGUGCGACGAUCGCGGCUACUCGCAGUGUGGUUCUCUCAGCCAUUUUGUAGCCAGACUUGAGUGCCUGCUAACUUGUUUAUCAAAAGGAUGAAUAAUAAAAGAUAAAUAACAUUCUUCAAAUCUAA